rnacentral:rRNA from 1 species
UACGGAGGAUCCGAGCGUUAUCCGGAUUCACUGGGUUUAAAGGGUGCGCAGGCGGGCGAAUAAGUCAGUGGUGAAAACCUGCCGCUUAACGGUAGGCGUGCCAUUGAUACUGAUUGGCUUGAGUCCAGUUGAGGUAGGCGGAAUGUGUAGUGUAGCGGUGAAAUGCUUAGAUAUUAUACAGAACGCCGAUAGCGAAGGCAGCUCACUAAGCUAUAACUGACGCUGAAGCACGAAAGCGUGGGGAGCAAACAGG